rnacentral:rRNA from 1 species
AGGACUAACGCUGGCGGCGUGCCUAACACAUGCAAGUCGAACGAAGUAGCAAUACUUAGUGGCAGACGGGUGAGUAACACGUGGUCAACCUACCGCUUUGUGGGGGAUAACUAGCCGAAAGGUUAGCUAAUACCGCAUACGUCGCAGGCCGGCAUCGGUCGACGAUAAAAGGAGCAAUCCGCAAGGUGACGGGACCGCGUCCCAUUAGCUAGUUGGUGAGGUAAUGGCCCACCAAGGCUCCGAUGGGUAGCUGGUUUGAGAGAGCGACCAGCCACACUGGGACUGAGAUACGGCCCAGACUCCUACGGGAGGCAGCAGUGAGGAAUUUUCCGCAAUGGGCGAAAGCCUGACGGAGCGACGCCGCGUGUGGGAAGAAGGCCCUCGGGUCGUAAACCACUGUCGAAGGGGAAGAUAUUGACGGUACCCUUGGAGGAAGCCCCGGCUAACUACGCGCCAGCAGCCGC